rnacentral:rRNA from 1 species
GCAGCAGUGAGGAAUAUUGGGCAAUGGAGGCAACUCUGACCCAGCCAUGCCGCGUGCAGGAAGACUGCCCUAUGGGUUGUAAACUGCUUUUAUACAGGAAGAAACACACCUACGUGUAGGUGCUUGACGGUACUGUAAGAAUAAGGACCGGCUAACUCCGUGCCAGCAGCCGCGGUAAUACGGAGGGUCCGAGCGUUAUCCGGAAUCAUUGGGUUUAAAGGGUCCGCAGGCGGUCAAUUAAGYCAGAGGUGAAAUCCCAUAGCUCAACUAUGGAACUGCCUUUGAUAACUGGUUGACUUGARUCAUAAUGGAAGUAGAUAAGAAUGURUAAAUAAUAAACGAUGAAAUGCAUAGAUAUUACACAGAAUAAAGAUUCCAAARAAAGUCUAUA